rnacentral:rRNA from 1 species
AAGCGGUGGAGCAUGUUGUUUAAUUCGAAGUAACGCGAAGAACCUUAACUGGCCUUGACAUGCUGAGAACUUUCCAGAGAUGGAUCGGUGCCUCUGGGAACUGGAGACACAGGUGCUGCAUGGUUGUCGUCAGCUGGUGUCGUGAGAUGUUGGGUUAAGUCCCGUAACGAGCGCACCCCUUGUCCUUAGUUACCAGCACCUCGGGUGGGCACUCUAAGGAGACUGCCGGUGACAAACCGGAGGAAGGUGGGGAUGACGUCAAGUCAUCAGUGCCCUUACGGCCAGGGCUACACACGUGCUACAAUGGUCGGUACAAAGGGUUGCCAAGCCGCGAGGUGGAGCUAAUCCCAUAAAACCGAUCGUAGUCCGGAUCGCAGUCUGCAACUCGACUGCGUGAAGUCGGAAUCGCUAGUAAUCGUGAAUCAGAAUGUCACGGUGAAUACGUUCCCGGGCCUUGUACACACCGCCCGUCACACCAUGGGA